GACGAACGCUGGCGGCGUGCUUAACACAUGCAAGUCGAACGGAAAGGCCCUGCUUGCAGGGUACUCGAGUGGCGAACGGGUGAGUAACACGUGGGUGAUCUGCCCUGCACUUCGGGAUAAGCCUGGGAAACUGGGUCUAAUACCGGAUAGGAGCCAUUUUUAGUGUGAUGGUUGGAAAGUUUUUUCGGUGUAGGAUGAGCUCGCGGCCUAUCAGCUUGUUGGUGGGGUAAUGGCCUACCAAGGCGGCGACGGGUAGCCGGCCUGAGAGGGUGGACGGCCACAUUGGGACUGAGAUACGGCCCAGACUCCUACGGGAGGCAGAGGGGGGGAAUAUUGCACAAUGGGCGCAAGCCUGAUGCAGCGACGCCGCGUGGGGGAUGACGGCCUUCGGGUUGUAAACUCCUUUCGCUAGGGACGAAGCUUUUUGUGACGGUACCUAGAUAAGAAGCACCGGCUAACUACGUG
rnacentral:rRNA from 1 species